rnacentral:rRNA from 1 species
AAUGAACGUUGGCGGCGUGGAUUAGGCAUGCAAGUCGAGCGCGAUGAGUUUGGUAGCUUGCUAUUGAACUCGGAAAGCGGCGAAAGGGAGAGUAACGCGUAGUUACGUGCCCCAGGGUUCGGAAUAGCCACGGGAAACUGUGGGUAAUGCCGAAUAACAUCUCCGGAUCAAAGGUGUGAUUCCGCCCUGGGAGCGGACUGCGUCCUACUAGCUAGUUGGCGGGGUAAUGGCCCACCAAGGCAACAAUGGGUAGCGGGUGUGAGAGCAUGACCCGUCUCACUGGGACUGAGACACUGCCCAGACACCUACGGGUGGCUGCAGUCGAGAAUCUUCGGCAAUGGGCGAAAGCCUGACCGAGCGACGCCGCGUGCGGGAUGAAGGCCCUCGGGUUGUAAACCGCUGUCGUAGGGGAGGAAGGCUCUGUGAAGAACAGGGUUUGACCUAUCCUAGGAGGAAGUACGGGCUAAGUUCGUGCCAGCCGCCGCGGUAAGAC